rnacentral:rRNA from 1 species
GAUGAACGCUAGCGGGAGGCUUAAUACAUGCAAGUCGAACGGUAAGGUCAGAGCUUGCUCUGAUACACGAGUGGCGCACGGGUGAGUAACGCGUACACUACCUACCUUAGAGUGAGGGAUAGCCCUGGGAAACUGGGAUUAAUACCUCAUGGUUUACUGGUUUUAGAUUAGUAAUAAAGGCUUCGGUCGCUCUAAGAUGGGUGUGCGUCUCAUUAGCUAGUUGGUAAGGUAACGGCUUACCAAGGCGACGAUGGGUAGGGGGCGUGAGAGCGUGGACCCCCACACGGGUACUGAGACACGGACCCGACUCCUACGGGAGGCAGCAGUAAGGAAUAUUGGACAAUGGGGGCAACCCUGAUCCAGCCAUCCCGCGUGCAGGAAGACGGCCCUAUGGGUUGUAAACUGCUUUUAUAUGGGAAGAAAGGUAGAGAUUUAUCUUUAUUUGACGGUACCAUAGGAAUAAGCACCGGCUAACUCCG